rnacentral:tRNA from 4 species
GGCAAUGUGGUGGAAUUGGUAGACACGCUACUUUGAGGUGGUAGUGGGAGUUAUCCUGUAGGAGUUCGAGUCUCCUCAUUGUCA